rnacentral:rRNA from 1 species
CACGUAGGCGGACAUUUAAGUCAGGGGUGAAAUCCCGGGGCUCAACCCCGGAACUGCCUUUGAUACUGGGUGUCUUGAGUCCGAGAGAGGUGAGUGGAAUUCCGAGUGUAGAGGUGAGAUUCGUAGAUAUUCGGAGGAACACCAGUGGCGAAGGCGGCUCACUGGCUCGGUACUGACGCUGAGGUGCGAAAGUGUGGGGAGCAAACA